CCAGCCUUCCGGGUCCCGUGGAGUGAGAUCAUCGCGGCUUUCCUUUCCCGGCAACUGUGAUUGGCUCAGGGACGGGCAUGUGACACCGUCAGGGCCAAUGAGAUGCAACGAGACUGUUGCAGUGGCUUCUGGGAAUGCUGUACACUUUUGUCCCUGUUGCGGCCAUGACAGGAGAGUCUAAGAGUGGACCCGAGAGAGGAGGGAGGAGCUCAGAGAUCAGGAGACACUAGGCAGGACCUGGUGACGUCAUCUGAACCUCUGGAUCCAGCUGUGCCCGAGACUAACGACUCCUUGCCCUUCGUAUAAGGCUCUGGAGGCCACACACCGAACUCCACAUCCUGCAGCCUGAAGAAAAUGAAAUAAAACUCUUCUGGCGAUGCCAGGGGCUGGGAUUCAUCGUUUACCCAGGACGUAGACUGUGGGCCCCCUGAGAAGAGAGACUGGCUGUGCUCAGAACUACCCUGAUGUCUGCGCUCGAGGGGAUGGCCCGGUGGACAGAGCGCCUGACUGGGGGCACUUCUGUGAGGGUCUCAGGCACUUCCUGGGGGCUAGCCACUGUGCGUGUUCAUAUGCGCCUCUGAGAGACCCAGAGGGAGGUGGACAGACGCAGACAGAGGAAGACAGUCAUGGAGAGGUGCAGGGAGAGAUGGGGAGACCAUAGAGAUGGGAGAGGCACAAAGAAACCCCAAAAGAGGGCGUAAAGGGAGAGAGGAAGGACAGAGGAGGAGCCCCGAAGGCAGGGGCGUCCCCCAGCAAGGUGCUGACCCACCCCUUCCUGCCUGUGUCCCCUUCCCCACUCUGUGCAGGCCACGUGUCACCUUGCCAGUCACCACACAUCCACAGUCACUCCUACCUCAGGGCCUUUGCACAGCAGUUCCCUCCCCCCGGCAUGCUCUUCUCUCUGGCCCGGCUCUCUUUCUCAUCGCCUGGCUCUCUCACACAUACUCCAGAAUGCUUCUUAAAGUA